rnacentral:rRNA from 1 species
CAGUAGCCGCGGGAAUACGAAGGGGGCUAGCGUUGCUCGGAAUCACUGGGCGUAAAGGGUGCGUAGGCGGGUCUUUAAGUCAGGGGUGAAAUCCUGGAGCUCAACUCCAGAACUGCCUUUGAUACUGAAGAUCUUGAGUUCGGGAGAGGUGAGUGGAACUGCGAGUGUAGAGGUGAAAUUCGUAGAUAUUCGCAAGAACACCAGUGGCGAAGGCGGCUCACUGGCCCGAUACUGACGCCGAGGCACGAAAGCGUGGGGAGCAAACAGGAUUAGAUACCCGUGUAGUCCCUGUCUCUUAUAA